AUACAGAGGGUGCAAGCGUUAUUCGGAAUUACUGGGCGUAAAGCGCGCGUAGGCGGAUGAUUAAGUCAGUUGUGAAAGCCCUGGGCUCAACCUAGGAACUGCAUCUGAUACUGUUCGUCUAGAGUUUAAGAGAGGGAAGUGGAAUUCCAGGUGUAGCAGUGAAAUGCGUAGAUAUCUGGAGGAACAUCAGUGGCGAAGGCGACUUCCUGGCUUAAAACUGACGCUGAGGUGCGAAAGCGUGGGUAGCGAACGGGAUUAGAAACCCUAGUAGUCC
rnacentral:rRNA from 1 species